rnacentral:lncRNA from 1 species
GCUGGGGUGACAGAUGCAAGAGAGGUGACUAGGAUGUGUCUCUGAUCACCCAGUAGGUUAGCUUGGGCUUGUUCACCUGGUGGCAGCAGGGUUUCAAGAGACCAAGCAGAAGACGCAAGACCUUUCAAGCCCAGGCUCAGGCGUGGCACACAUCACCUUUGCUGCAUUGUGUUGGUCCGAGUGAGUCACAAGCACAGACUCCAGCCUUGCUGGGAGGAGCUGCAGGGCACUUUGCAGAGCGGCAUGGACAGGUGCAAAUGGAAGGAGGAGGGGGAGUUGAAGCCAUUUUUGCAGUCAGCCUACCGAAUGACCGAGAGCAGUGUGUUUCAGAGAAGGCAACAAUGGCAGAAGAUAAUGAAAACCAUUCCUGGGAGCUAUUUCUGAUCUUCGCUUUUCUCCAUCCCAGGGAUGUCUCAGUGGUGGUGGUGAUUGUCUUGAGGCUGUAAUCCAGACACCCAGAAACACCACUGCUAUGGCAGGGCAAUGCCAGAUCAGUGAUCCUCACCUCUGGUCCCUCCACACACUCAGCUCAUUCAUUUUCACAUCCUCAACUGCCAGCCUUGCCCCUGGCAAGUCCAUUUAAUGCAUGAAGGCACUAACUCCAAUUACAGUGGUUUCUCAAGAGCAGAUAUGACUGUGGGCUGAUUCAGAGCCAGCUGGUUUUGUCUUCAUGCUUUCUGUACUGUGCAUAUGUACAGUUGCAGUUUGGGGGUAGGGAAGCCUUUAUUUUUUUCCCCUCAUGACAAAAUACCAGUUCAUUGUAGAAAUCUUGGAAAACCCAAAGGACAAAACAAUUAGCCUUCACUCAAUUACUCAGAGAAAAACAGUACCCAUUUUGUGGCAUAUCCUUUCAGUGGUGUGUGUGUGUGUGUCAGUGUGCGUUUGCCCGGGAGUGGAAAUGACUGAAACCUGUGGUUUGCCAACAGAAUGGACAUCUGUUCCCUGUGAGUCCCAGGGGCCCUGGCCUCCACCUGCUGUUUGGGGCUUUCUCGGUUUCCUCCACCAUGGUUCUCUCUCCCUCGUUUUUGCACUACCCUCUGUUUUUUGAUAAGCUGCUUCUGAAGUUAGAGAAUGAGAGUGCAGCCUUUGAAGCGUGACGGGAGAUGUGGAGACCGUCUCCUUGGCUGCGCAGAUGAAGAGGCACGUGGCCUGCCCGAGGCCCCCAGUGAGCCGGGAGCAAAACUGGAUCUCAGUUCCUAGCCCAGUGUCCCAGACCACCUUUUAUGCCCUCCUUGUCACUCAGAUGCCUUCUCCACAGCAAACCCAGAAGAAACGGUGCCCUGAUUACACCAGGAGACGAACGGGACACAGAAGUAGCUUUCUCAGCAGGGAGCCUCUACCCUCACCCCCGCAGUCUAGUCCCCACACACGGGCAGAGGGAUCCCUUCAGCCCAGAUGAGACCAUGGCCCUCCUCAGCUCCCACCACCUGUGUCUCCCACCUCCCUCGGGGUAAAAGUCAAAGUCCCCAAGAAGCCUACAAGGCCCCCGUGACCUGGCCCCAUCUCUCCCUGUCCCUGGCUCCAACUCACUGGCCUCCCCUCUGUUCCCACCUACUGGGCCCAUUGGAAUCUUCAAACUUGCUGUCCCCUUUGCUAGGAACAUGUGUCCCCAGAUGUCUGAAUGGCUUGCUCUGUCACCUCCUUCUGGUCAUUACUAAAAUAUCACCUUCUCAGCUAGGCCUCCUCUAAAACAGUAAACCCCCUCGCAUAACACACAUACACACGCACCACAUACCCGCUCCCUCCAGACUGCCAGUGGUCAGACUCGCUUUAGAUUUUCUGUGUUUAUUGUCUGACCCCCACCAUGACAAAGAUCUGUACUGAUCUUGUCAUGAGGGGUGUGUAUAAGGCCCUCUUUCUAGAAUCUGCUCUGGGCCACAGGAUGAGAGGCACUGGCGAGGGGUGCAAUGUCCACUGCUGAAUGCCAAACCAUCCCCCCAGCACACAGCAAGUGCUCAGUGAGUAAGGAUGAAUAAAGGAUGGAAUGUGGAAUGCGGGAGAGCUAGAAGUAAAGGAAUAGAAGAGGGCACUGUGCACUUUUCCUUUUAUAAUGAAUGGUAUCUGAAUUUGUAAAUUCUAAUUCCUUACAGCAGAAAGCUCUGGGAAGCAUUUGCUUUAUUUCUUUCAAUCAGAAAAUGGUGUUUGUUUGGAGAUCUUGGCUAGAUGCUGCACUUCCCAAGUUCUGAUGAAAAUGUUCUUUAUUUCAGAGUAAUGGGGAGGUUCCAGGAUGAAGUUUUCUGAUCCAAAAGUCAAGACAGUCACUAAUAAAUAAAUAGAAGAGUUGAGAAUUUGAAUGAAUACAUGGAGAGUCUGCGGCACGCCAGGCCCUGUGCCAGCCCUAGAGAGGAGUCCUCAUUCCAGUGUCGAGAGGCUCCGACUUUGCCCAGAUCACAGGCAUCUCGACACAUUGCCAAACCCAGGCUUCAGCAUGCUUAGUAAGAGAGUGAUCAGGGUUGUAGACACAGAGAAGAGGGAGCACUCCCUGGGGAAGGGGGCAGAGGGCAAGGUGAGGCUGCACAGAGGAGGUGCUAUCUACAAGGGUUUUGAAGGUUGAAUAGAAGUUUGUGAGGUGGGCAGAGGUGGGCAUCAUUCCAAGCAAAGAGAAUUACAUUUGCAAAAGAACAGAGUCACGUGGCAGUGAGAGUUGUGGAGGGAGCUGCACACCACUCGGGGCUGUUGGAGCGUAAAUGAAAAGAUGCUAUGUGUAUGAGUCCGCUAGGGCCAGCAUAACAAAAUUCUACAGACUGGGGAGCUUCAACAGCAGGGAUUUAUUUUCUCACAGUUCUGGAGGCUGAAAAUGCAAGAUCAAUGUGUUGCUAGGGCUGGUUCCUUCUGAGGCCUCUCUCCUUGGCUUGUAAGUGGCCGUCUUCUCCCUGUGUCCUCACAUGGUCCUCCCCAUCUAGUGUGUACAUUUGGGUUAUAGUGGAUUAGGGCCCACCCAUAUUAACUUCAUUACCUUGGCAAAGACCUUGUAUCCAUUCGGAGGUACUAGAGGUUAGGGCUUCAGCCUGUGAAUCUGGGGAAACAGCUCAGCCCAUAACACCAAGAUAGGAAUAUCUCUCUCUCUCUCUCUCUCCCUCUCUCUCUCUCUCUCUCUUUCUCUCUCUCUCUCCCUCCCUCCCUCCUCCCUCUCCCACCUCUGUUGUGUGGUCUCUCUCUCUCUGGGGAAUGAUCAAGGAUGGAACAAUGUCAACAGACUGCGAUGCGUAACCCUCAGUUGAGAAUGACUCGGAUUUAAUUCGAAUGGUCCUCUGAGUGUCAGGCGCCUCUUUGUGGUGUGGAGAGGAGGCCACCCUAGUCUGGGUAGGCAUGCUUUUAUGGAAAAAUAUUAAACCAGCCCUGCCCGUGUUAGUCAGAUCCAGUGAGGGGCGUUGCAAGUUGUUUUAUAUUUGUUUUGGAUUACUUUCAACACUUGUCCUAGAAUGCUCCGAGUCUCUUGCUAAUGAGUUUUCCUUUACUUAAUACCAGACGCUGUGGCUCCUCCCCGCGUGAAAUCUCACGUGGACUUGGGAAGAGAGAGCAUCUGUCCCCAUUUGACUCAUUUUCAACACCAGGUCCCCGAGUGCCAGGUUGUGGCCAAAUCCUGUUCCAGUGGGAGGACCCCCCUUCCCUAGGAUGUGGCUGAGUCACUUGUUUGUGCAGGCUCAGGAGUCUGGGAGCCACCCCAGGGACCACAGGUGUGGAAGGAGAAGCCCGCUCCAAUCACGGUUUCUGGGCGUCACCUUGGAGACAGCAGCUGAGGAGCUCAAAUAGGUGUUACCGUGGAAGCUCCUGUCUCAAGGGAGCCUGAGGUUUUCUUUCCCAAGUCUGUAGACAGCCACUUGAUGGAAAUGAUCAUACCUGUGCCCAUUUGCGUUGGGCUGGACCAGAGACCCUGUGCUUACAAGUCUCCGUGGCCUCUUAGCUGCCCUGGAGGGAACCUCUUGUUCUGUGACUUAAGAAACCACAAGCUCUUGUCCUGAUGAGUUCUCUUAUUCUUGAGAAUCUGUGGUGGGCCUGGUACUUUCUAGGUGCUGGAGAUACAAAGACACCACAAGGCACCCUGCCCCUAAGGAGCACACAGUCCAGCAGGGGUCUGUAGUAGACCCUGAUUAUGCCAUCCUGUGAUAACACUGGAGUUGGACCUCUAGACACACAGGAGAAGGCUGGGGGUUUUUCUAGGGGAGAGACAAGACACGCAGAUGUUCCACAGGGUGGAGGGGUGUUUCAGAUGGAGCAGGUGUGUGUGCAAGGCCCAGGAUGUGCAGGAGUGCAAGGAUGGGUGAGUGGUUGCUGCCUGGAGGCCUGGGAUGGUGGCCUUGGGUCACUUCCCCUGAGUCCCAGACCAAAUCUCCAGAUGUUCCCAACAGCCCAUCAAAGAGCAGGUACUGAAGAGGGGGCUGAGGAGCUCCUUAUGUCCACUUAAGUGGAGGGACAGAGACACAGUACAAGAGAAGGGAACAGAGACAGGGACACACAAAGGCAGACACAGAAUGACCCACUUGUGACCUCAGGUGGCUCCAUCAGCAAUCGAGAACAGGGCUGAGUCACUUGUUUGCGCAGGUUCAGGAGUCUGGGAGCCACCCCAGGGACCAGCUUCCUAGACCCCGUCCCCUGAGGAAAAUUCAGGAAGGAGGAGGGAGGGGCAGGGUUAUCUCCUCCCCAGGCCCAUGGACUGGGUGGAUCUUGUGGAAUGCACUGGGCUGGAGGGAGAUUGGGGGCUGGGGGUGGGGAGAAGGGCUGGAAGGCCAGGGAACCAGCCCCAGUAGACGAGAGGGAGGCUCCCUACGGGAGUGGCAGAGGACAAGAAGGAUGGCGUGCAUGCCUCUGGAGGGAGUGGACGCAGAGGGAGACGGAAGAGUGGAAUCCAUCUGUUUAUGGACACUCAAGUCGAUCCCUGCAAGAACUAAGCAUGAAAGGUGGAGAAAGGAAGACUAGCAUUUUUUGGAUGCCUACUGUGUGACAGGUGCUUUCACUUGCCUCCUCAUUUAACCCUUUCAGCAAUCCACUCAGUAAAUACCCUGGCCCCGAUGGCGGCUUUCACUGAUGAGGAAACCAAGGAUCAUAGCGGUGGAGACGUUUGCAAGGUCACACAGCUAAGACGUAGCAGCUGUGGUCUGUACCCGGAUCUGAUGCCAUUGCCUGCCUGCUUUCUGCUGCCUUCCAGGGACUCUGCCGGUCAGCAGGUGUAUGACAGAAGCAUAUAUAUUAGCCAAAACAUGGUCUCUGUCAUCUGUUUUCUAACUCAGAUAAAGGUGAUCUUAAGGACGUGGACAGCACAGUUUAGGAUCAAAUGUUCUGCAAAAUCUGGGUCAGGUCAGGAAUUUACCUAAUUUGACAUAUUGUUUCCGACUCCUUUGACAUUUCUCUUCAUUUGGUUCUGAAUAUACAGUAUAGGAGAUUUUUUUCCUAUUAAACCGUGUCCGGCGGUGUAAAAGCUCUUGGGGUUGCUGAUCUCAUGGAGCUCUGCAGUUUGCCUCAAGCAAUUCUUUGGACUUCACAGAGCAUCCUGUUAUUUUGUUACAGACUUAAUUCCUUGAUCUCAUGCAUCCUGGAAGUUUCUAGUGGCAAAAGCCUCUCCCCACUCUGCAGCUGUCACUUAUUUAUAAGCCAGAGGCACUUUCUGUAUAUGCAACUUUCAUCAUAGAGCUCUGAGAGAAAGGUCUGGCAUUUCUGGAUGAUUCUGGCCAACCCAGAGCUGCACAGAGCCCUAACAUUUCAUGAGAGAGAAAAUCAACAGGAGAAUGGCCACUGUGGGCAUGACACGUGGCAAUGUGAUCGCUAACCCCACGGAACCAGCCACUUACCGCUUUCUGAAACCCAGAUCGUCAUCCCGCAGCGUGAUACAAAAGGAAGAUCAUCUUGCUAGAUGCCAAGAACCGUAGUUAUGACACUUUUUGUCAUUCUGUUUCCUCUUAUUUAUACAGUGGAGAGUAGGAUGUUUUCAAAUAAACCUUCUAAAUAUG